UAUAUUAUGUACAUACAUACCUAGCUUAUAAGUUCUUAUGCACUGAGUGCAAAGAGUGCAUUUUAGUACAAAACGAAAUGAAAUUUUAUGUUCCUAAAUAUUUCUUGCUUAGCACC